rnacentral:lncRNA from 1 species
UUAUCGCUCUAUUGUCUCAUAUUCAUGACAUCCAAAGUAAUUAUGUCUUCCUCCACCAUAAUUUUCAUGUUCAUCCUAUUUAUAAUGACCGACAAGUUCAACUCCACCAUAAACACAAUGUUCAAUUCAUCGACAAGUUCAACUCCGAAAAUCAUUCUUUCACCUUGAUCGACAACCAAUUUGCGGAUAUGACAAACGAAGAAUUUAAAGCAACAUAUCUAAAUCAUGAGAUUACUGAAAACCCCACACAAUAUUGUGAAAAGGUAAUCUUUGAUAUUUCUCAAGAAAAGCCACCUCCUGCCAAUUUGGAUUGGAGGAAGAAAGGAGCUGUUACCUCAGUUAAGAGCCAAGGAUCAUGUGGUAAUUAACAGACAUAUUAAUUACUUUGCCAUUUUUUAGUUUUAAUUUUUUGUCACACAAGAAUUGACGUGUUUAUAUUUUAUGCAGGAUCUUGUUGGGCAUUCGCAACUGCGGCCACUGUAGAAAGUCUAACGUUUCAAAAAACAAACCAACUUCUAAAUUUGUCUGCCCAGCAAUUGGUCUCAUGUGACGGUGGCAAUGCCGGGUGUGAAGGAGGCGACCGACCUACAGCUUUUGAAUACGUAAUGAAAAAUGGUUUGGCUACAUCAGAAGAUUACCCAUAUAAGGAGGAGAAUGGUACGUGUAAAUUAAACUUCCAAAAAGCUGCAACUAUAGAUGGUUGUAAAAGUGUCGAACCCGGUAGCGAAGUCCAAUUGUUAUAUGCUGUUGUAAAACGACCAGUGUCUGUCGGAAUCGACUUUGAUUUGGUCAAACCACCGUACCGAUUUUACCAUAGAGGAAUAUACUCUGCUUGCUCAACAUGUGGAAAGCAGGAACUGGACCAUGCCGUUGUGGUUGUUGGUUAUGGACGUAAUGGGUCAUCAAACUACUGGAUUAUUAAAAAUUCAUACGGUGAAGAUUGGGGUGAAGAUGGUUAUAUGAUGAUGGUACGAAAUGUUUGUGAUGGACAAGGUGCGUGUGGGAUUACACAAAAGGCAGUAUACCCUAUUUAAUUUGGUUCAAGGUAAUGAGUUUGAGUAAUUUGGUAAGUGAGUGAGCGUUUGGUAAUUAUUGGUGUGUAUUCAUUUUCACUUUUAAGAUCCGUUGGAUUUUGAUUUUUGCUUGUAACUCUUUUGUUUUGUUUGUGAUAAUAAAUUGAGAUGGUUGAUUGAAAUGAUUGUUUAUGCGUGGAGGAACACAAAUUAUUGGAGUGUUUAAAAAAUAGGAAUUUAUAUUGUUUGAUAAAAUGUGAAAUCAUUUAUGUCAAAUCGCAUUCAUUUAAGAUUUUUAAAUCUUGUGCAUGAGGAGCUCAAUCCUUCGUCGUGAGUAAGGGUGAGAACCCCGGGGCAGAAUACCUGCUCCGUUUUUGUUUUGCAUCGUGCCUCGCUGCCCCGAUCAUAUUCCAGGGCUGGUCUCGGGGCAAGACCAAGCCCGGACGGCACGCCAAUCAACCCAACUGUGAACCCAAGGUAAAUCUUAAAUUUACCUUGAAAUUAAAUAAAUAUAUUGGUUUUUUUUUUUAUGUUGAUGUAGUUUUUGGGGUUUCUUUUUAUAACUAUAUUAGGAUUGGAGAAGAGGGUCCCGCGCUGCAAAUUUUUAUUUUUUUAAAUUUUAUUUUGUAGGUAAUUAGAGACGGGUCGUCCUGGAUCCGCCCCGUUUCGCAUCCCGGUCGUCGGGGCAGGGGCGGGUCUCGGGGCAGGGAAUCAUAGUACCUGACACGUCCCGUUCUGCGUCCCGGUUUUUGAAACUGGGACAGAUACCGGGGUAGUUCACUACUGAUCGAUUGGUAUCGAGUAAGACACCAAACAAUCUCUUUUAUACAAGAAUCUUCCUACUCUAUUACAUUGUUUUCUCCCCUUUUUCAGUUCAACCCCUAGGAGUAUUUAUACAUUUUCCUACUGGACCGGGACUUUCUUUAACCUUUUGUGCCGGACUACGAUCCGACCGAUCCGUCAAGGCAAGCGGGUCGGGUACAACUUACUGGGCUAACAGGGCAUUGUCGGACUUGGUCUGAGGGUGGGCCUGGUCUGAUGGACCAGGGGUAUCAUCAAAGGUUUAGAUUAAUGAAACUUCAUCAAUUACACAUUUUCUCUGAAUAAAUAUGAACGGACGGUGAUUGGGGUGAAGUAGGAAAAAAUCAAAAUUGUAUUUAUUUACUUUAAUUUGCACGCUUCAGUAACCUAAUGUUUUAUAAACAUGGUUACUUGUUUGGGCAGUUAAAAUUGCUAUAAAAUAAAUUAUAACACAAAUUUGCUUAAAAUAAAUUAUAACAUAAAAUAAGUAUGGUUAGUACAACGAACGAAAGAUAGGCUUCUUCAAAUUGGAAAGGAAAAGAGACUGUUUUCGAAAACACGACUACUGAUGGAGCACUAGAAAUUUGGUCGAAAAAAUUCAAGGAAUUGGAGGUAUUUUGAAUAUAAUUCAAUAAUUUUAUACUCAUUUAUGAUUUCAUUUUCAGAACAAGUGUAACGAGAGUCAAAAAGGCAUGUCGAAAUACAAGAAGAGGUUCAAUUCAAUGAAAUCUUAUUCCAAACAGAUGACUAAAGUUUUGAAGUCUUCCGGCGUCGACUUGACGAACAUGCUUUCCACUUCGAAGUCCAACAUGAUACUGUCUGCAUUAGAAUCAGAUAAUUCGGAUUCAGACGACUCUAUUUCCAAGGAGUGUUGAUUAUGGUAAACUUGUAUUUUAGUUUUUAAACUUCGAAUGUCUAACGAUUCUGUAUUUCAGUUUCUUUAAAAAAAAUAGCAUAAACAUUGUAUGGCGGAAAUCCGUCAUCCAUACUAUUAUACUAAGGUUUAUGAUGAUGCACGAAACAUAACGAUUCAAACGCUCAAUAUAAUACCCUAUUUUUUAAAAAAAUAGCACAAACAUUGUAUGAUGAAAGUCCGCCAUCCAUACUAUUAUACUAAGGUUUACAUGGCGGACGUCCGUCAUCUAUAUAUGGGGCCAACCGCCCUCUCCCAGUUAUAGAUGGCGGAUGUCCGCCAUCUAUAUACGCAGGCAACCGCUUGACGUACUUAUGAUGGCGGAUUUCCGCCAUCUAAUGUUACAAAGAUAGUCGACGGGCAUCAAGCAUCAAUAAAAUUAACCGCCAUCGAUAAAUUGACGCCAACUUUUUCCGCGUCAUAUUUUACAUGGCGGCGGAUGUCCGCCAUCUUAUAAUUUUCAGUUCCCGCGAAAAUUUUAAGAUUAGAUGGCGGAAAUCCGUCAUGUAUAUUUUUUUUGUGGAAAAUGGGGAUGAAUAAUAGAUGGCGGUCUUUAGAUGACGGUUAUGGGGUUAUAAUGACGGUCUUUAGAUGACGGAUUUCCGCCAUUGAUCACUAAUGACGGCGGAAAUCCGCCAUCUAAAGACCGCCACACAAGGUUUUAUUUCUUGUAGUGUCCUUCCAAAAUUUGAAAGUGAAUAUCUUGUCCCUAUUUGAAACAAUAGAGCUUGGUAUUCCAUGUUGCUUGAUGAUCAUUGUCGUGAAUAAUUUAGAUACCAUGCUUGCAUUAAAAUUUGUGGGCAAAGCUCCAAAAUGGGCAUAUUUUGAAAUCCUAUCCACUACUACCAUUAUGACUGUUUUUCCUUGUGUUUGUGGUAGCUCAGUGAUGAAGUCCAUUGUUACGUCCUUUCAAACCAUAUUAGGUAUGGGUAAUGGCAUGAGUAGACCUGCCUUCUUUUGGUUUAUAGGCUUCAUCUGUUGAUAAAUUUUGCAAUUUAACACAAAUUCUCUAAUAUCUUUAGACAUACCUUCCCACCAAAAUUGUAGAUUUAUUCUUUUGAUGGUUGCCUUGAUUUCAGAAUGCCCUCCAGUUAUUGCAGAGUGGUAUAUUCUUUCAUAAUUUCUUUCUUGAUGUCAGAAUUUUUUAAUAAAUAUAUUCUGCCUAUAAAUUUAAUAAUAUCUCCUUACACUGUAAAUCCUACUUUUGAGUUAGGAUUUUUGCUAAUAUCUGAUACGAUCCUAAAUUCACAGAUUAACUCAAUCAAAAAUCGAGGGACCUGAGGAUAGAGGAUGCUCUGGAUCUGAAUGUCUAACGACGAUCCAGAUAUCCAAAGCAGUACGUUCACGGCGGGGUAACCCCUGAUAUCGAGUCUAAGCUCAGGACGAAUGUAUGCGGUUAGGCUAUUCGCGCGAGGGCUCGAUUCGGCAGUGGAUGCUAGAUCCAGAAUAAGGCAGACGGCGGCGAGAUUUUCCGACGAAGAUCGUGACGGCGGGAUGAAGCAGAUUGAUGUAGUCGUAGGGAAAUGAAUAUGGAAAUUUUGUAAUUUUUAAUUUGAUACCAAUAUUUGAAUAAUGGAAUUGAAAUAAAUAAAUAUUUGAAUAUCUCAAUAUUUAAUUUCAAGAGUAAUGACGUACUAAACCCUAGAAAUUAGUUUAAAUGAGAUUACGAAAUAACAUUAGUUAAAAGCACCCACUGGUUAUUUCAUUAAUUAGGAUAUUUUAAGCAUGCAUUUUUAAUAUAAAAAAAUAAAUAUUUUUAACAUGCAUUGUUAAUAUUUAAAAAAAAACUUCUAGUCGCAUUUUAAAUUUUAAUAAAAAAAUACUUGUUUAUAUUUGAAGGAAAAUGAAAUAAAAAUUAAUUAACACCAAAGUUUCAGUCUAUAUAAGAAAAAAUCAAUGGAAGCAAAGAAACACAACACAUACUUAUCGCUCUAUUGUCUCAUAUUCAUGACAUCCAAAGUAAUUAUGUCUUCCUCCACCAUAAUUUUCAUGUUCAUCCUAUUUAUAAUGACCGCAGUCGUUUCUUCCUCAUCUCCCAAUACUACUAUAGAAACGGCACUCAAAGAUAGGUACAAGAAGUGGCUUGGUCAGUAUGGGAAUCUCCGUCCUUCAAAUAUGAGGAACAUGGAUUUGAAGAGCCGAUUUGAGAUAUAUAAACACAAUGUUCAAUUCAUCGACAAGUUCAACUCCGAAAAUCAUUCUUUCACCUUGAUCGACAACCAAUUUGCGGAUAUGACAAACGAAGAAUUUAAAGCAACAUACCUAAAUCAUGAGAUUACUGAAAACCCCACACAAUAUUGUGAAAAGGUAAUCUUUGAUAUUUCUCAAGAAAAG